UACCACGGUAAUACGUAGGUGGCAAGCGUUGUCCGGAAUUAUUGGGCGUAAAGGGCUCGCAGGUGGUUUCUUAAGUCUGAUGUGAAAGCCCCCGGCUCAACCGGGGAGGGUCAUUGGAAACUGGGAAACUUGAGUGCAGAAGAGGAGAGUGGAAUUCCACGUGUAGCGGUGAAAUGCGUAGAGAUGUGGAGGAACACCAGUGGCGAAGGCGACUCUCUGGUCUGUAACUGACGCUGAGGAGCGAAAGCGUGGGGAGCGAACAGGAUUAGAUACCCGCGUAGUCCCUGUCUCUUAUACACAU
rnacentral:rRNA from 1 species